rnacentral:rRNA from 1 species
AUUGGAGUGGCCGAUGUCAGAUUAGCUAGUUGGUGGGGUAAAGGCCUACCAAGGCAACGAUCUGUAGCUGGUCUGAGAGGAUGAUCAGCCACACUGGGACUGAGACACGGCCCAGACUCCUACGGGAGGCAGCAGUGGGGAAUUUUGGACAAUGGGGGCAACCCUGAUCCAGCCAUUCCGCGUGAGUGAAGAAGGCCUUCGGGUUGUAAAGCUCUUCAGCAGGAACGAAACGGCGAGUACUAAUACUGCUCGCUAAUGACGGUACCUGAAGAAGAAGCACCGGCUAACUACGUGCCAGCAGCCGCGGUAAUACGUAGGGUGCGAGCGUUAAUCGGAAUUACUGGGCGUAAAGCGUGCGCAGGCGGUUGUGUAAGACAGGUGUGAAAUCCCCGGGCUUAACCUGGGAACUGCGCUUGUGACUGCACAGCUAGAGUAUGGCAGAGGGGGGUGGAAUUCCACGUGUAGCAGUGAAAUGCGUAGAGAUGUGGAGGAACACCGAUGGCGAAGGG